rnacentral:lncRNA from 1 species
GUUGUGCAAGCAGGCUCUGGAGACCCGCAGGCUCCUGGGCAGAGGGCUGCCUUCUGUGUGGGCUUGCCCCUCGCCACACCUGGCCAGGAGCCUCCCCCAGCCCCGUGACCCUUGUGUCAGAGCCUGGCCAGAUGACAGACGGCCUGGGGUGCAGGCGAGACCCACUGAACUGGCAGCUGAGGACAGGUCCAGGCCCAGUGGCUGGGGGACUUCUCAGAGCAGGUACCACAACAGCUACCCAAGGACUCAGGACUUUUCUCCCACAGCCAGACUUGGUGAUUGCAUGAAGGAGCCCAGCCUCGGAUGACCUUUCCCCGUGACAAGGCACUAGGAGAGCACAGACCUCCCCACACAAACACUGAGACACCCAACCUUGCGUGACCUUGAGCCAAACACAACUCUUAGGAUGUAACCUGCUUUACAAGAUGAGAAAGACACGAGUAAAAACAUCAGCAGACUCUGGAAGAGUCAGUAAACAAACAAGCUGUCCUUGGAGCAAGCAAGCGCUUCCCUUUCGGCAUCUCCCCCUCUCUGAGCGGCAGCCCUGCAAGUGAGGCCAAUAGCCGUCCCUCAGCUGUGUACAGGACAGGCAUUCUUGGACCUCAGAGUCCUGCAGUAGCAUUUUGAGGACGCCAAGUUAUUGAUGGGGACAGGUGCUCAUAAUUCAGCAUAACCCACCCAAGCCGUGUUUCACUUUUUCUGGAAACCUCUUGAUUUAGGAAUGAAAGCCCCUGGCUCCCCCUGGGCUGGGCUGGCCAGUAAACAUCUCAGUCUGAGUUUGCCGAGGUGGGUUGCUAAAUUUAAUUGCCAGUUUCCACACCAUGUGAUGGUGUGUGACAGGCCAGCUCACCCUGUGAGUUAGCCAAGGGGUUUUAAAUAAAUGCUUUCUGACGGAAAGGAUGAUAAAGGUUCCUAUUAUUCACCAGUGAGCCUGGAGACUGAGCUGGUCCGGUUUUUACGACUGAGGCACAGCAAUGUCAAUCUCAUGCUCUCUGUCACUACUUCCCACUGUGGCUUGACUAGGACAGCCUUAAGCGGCCUGCAGAAAGAGCUCCAGCCGGGUAGUCAGGAGACCUUUGCCAGCCCGAUCCGUCCAAGGUUUCUGUGACCUUGGAAGGCAAAUAGCUCUAUGGGCCAGCGUCAGCCUCUGCGUCUGCAGAGAGGAGUGCUUCACAGGUCAUGCUUGGGGCUUUCAGGAAGCAUGUAAUAGAUAUGCAAAGGCAUUGCUGUUGGUGAAACAUCCGUGGAACACCAGGCAACAAACCACUAAAAGCAGCAUUUUUCUUGCUCCGAUCCUUUAAAAUAUCGAUGGAGAUAAACUGAUGCUGCUAUUUGUGUUUUCCUUGACUAUUUCCUUACGAAGCCCUGCAGUCACCGAAUGCUCACUCAACCUUCCUUCAAAAGUGAUUCAACGUGUGGCCUGAGAAGCGGCAGCAUCAGCCUCACCUGGGCGUUGGUGAGAACGGCAGCAUCUUGGCCUCUCCUGCUGAAUCAGAGCGCGCUGCUUAACACGCUCCCGGGUGACUCGUACGUAGUCAGUGCUGGGAAGCGCUGGUCUACAGUCAUGUUUCUCAAGCUUGAAUGCACAUCCGAAUCCCCCGGAAGGUUUGCUAAAGCCUUGCUGGGCCCCACCCCCACGUUUCUGAUUCAGCAGGUGUGGGUCGGGGUCUGCGAACUUGCAUUUUUAGAAAGUUUUCUGGUGAUGGUGAUGCCUCUGGUCCAGGACCACACUUUGAGAACUUCUGGUCUUUCUUGAGCAGCUGUUUAGUGAUACCUUCAUUCCCACGUCACUAAGGGUGCAUAACGUCUCUUCGUUAUGUACUCUGGCUUCCUCAAUCCCUGGAAUUACUGUGGUAUCCUCGUGAUAUAUCUUCAUUUCUUCCUCUUUAAUCAUCCUUGAUCUCCCCCUUGAUUUCAAUAUGUGUUUAUCUCUCUUUCAUUAGGAAGCUCUAGACACAGAAAACCAGACAGCUCGGUGCUGUGCAAAAAUGGGAGGAUUUCAUGAAAAUCCUACUUUUUUCUCCCAUGUAGUUGUUUUAAAAUUCCACUUGUUUUUUGUUUGUUUGUUUGAG